rnacentral:rRNA from 1 species
AUUGAACGCUGGCGGCAGGCCUAACACAUGCAAGUCGAACGGUAGCACAGAGAGCUUGCUCUCGGGUGACGAGUGGCGGACGGGUGAGUAAUGUCUGGGAAACUGCCCGAUGGAGGGGGAUAACUACUGGAAACGGUAGCUAAUACCGCAUAACGUCGCAAGACCAAAGUGGGGGACCUUCGGGCCUCACACCAUCGGAUGUGCCCAGAUGGGAUUAGCUAGUAGGUGGGGUAAUGGCUCACCUAGGCGACGAUCCCUAGCUGGUCUGAGAGGAUGACCAGCCACACUGGAACUGAGACACGGUCCAGACUCCUACGGGAGGCAGCAGUAGGGAAUAUUGCACAAUGGGCGCAAGCCUGAUGCAGCCAUGCCGCGUGUAUGAAGAAGGCCUUCGGGUUGUAAAGUACUUUCAGCGGGGAGGAAGGCGGUGAAGUUAAUAGCUUCACCGAUUGACGUUACCCGCAGAAGAAGCACCGGCUAACUCCGUGCCAGCCGCCGCAGUAG